rnacentral:rRNA from 1 species
AUUGAACGCUGGCGGCAGGCCUAACACAUGCAAGUCGAGCGGAGCGGCGGACGGGGGAGUAAUGCCUAGGUAUCUGCCUGGUAGUGGGGGAUAACGUCAGGAACCGGGAGCUAAUACCGCUUACUCUUAGAUGAGCCUAGGUCGGAUUAGGUAGGUGGUGGGGUAAAGGCCUACCAAGGCGACGACCCGUAACUGGUCUGGGAGGAUGAUCAGUCACACUGGAACUGAGACACGGUCCAGACUCCUACGGGAGGCAGCAGUGGGGAAUAUUGGACAAUGGGCGAAAGCCUGAUCCAGCCAUGCCGCGUGUGUGAAGAAGGUCUUCGGAUUGUAAAGCACUUUAAGUUGGGAGGCGUUACCAACAGAAUAAGCACCGGCUAACUUCGUGCCAGCAGCCGCGGUAAUUC